GAUGAAGAACGUAGCGAAAUGCGAUAAGUAGUGUGAAUUGCAGAAUUCAGUGAAUCAUCGAAUCUUUGAACGCACAUUGCGCCCCUUGGUAUUCCAUGGGGCAUGCCUGUUCGAGCGUCAUUUGUACCCUCAAGCUUUGCUUGGUGUUGGGCGUCUUGUCGUAUUACGACUCGCCUUAAAUACAUUGGCAGCCGACACUUUGGCCUAGGAGCGCAGCACAUUUUGCGAUCGUAGCCCGUUGUACUGGCGUCCAUCAAGAACAUUUACCACGUUUGACCUCGGAUCAGGUAGGGAUACCCGCUGAACUUAAGCAUAUCAAUAAGCGGAGGA
rnacentral:misc_RNA from 1 species